rnacentral:rRNA from 1 species
UGAGGAAUAUUGGUCAAUGGGCGAGAGCCUGAACCAGCCAAGUAGCGUGCAGGAUGACGGCCCUAUGGGUUGUAAACUGCUUUUGUAUGGGGAUAAAGUCAGUCACGUGUGAUUGUUUGCAGGUACCAUACGAAUAAGGACCGGCUAAUUCCGUGCCAGCAGCCGCGGUAAUACGGAAGGUCCGGGCGUUAUCCGGAUUUAUUGGGUUUAAAGGGAGCGUAGGCUGGAGAUUAAGUGUGUUGUGAAAUGUAGACGCUCAACGUCUGACUUGCAGCGCAUACUGGUUUCCUUGAGUACGCACAACGUUGGCGGAAUUCGUCGUGUAGCGGUGAAAUGCUUAGAUAUGACGAAGAACUCCGAUUGCGAAGGCAGCUGACGGGAGCGCAACUGACGCUGAAGCUCGAAGGUGCGGGUAUCGAACAGGAUUAGAUACCCUGGUAGUCCGCACAGUAAACGAUGGAUGCCCGCUGUUGGUACCUGGUAUCAGCGGCUAAGCGAAAGCAUUAAGCAUCCCACCUGGGGAGUACNCCGGCNACGGU